rnacentral:lncRNA from 1 species
GUUCGUUAGCUUGUUGAACAAGUUCUACAUUGCUUUGCUAUAAAGAAGAUAUGGGAAAGGAAGUUUCUGCUUUCCUUUGUUGGAGUAUGCACGAGGGAGAAUGAUAACUAAGGUAAAAGAUUAUGCAACUCUGCUUAAUAUUUGUUUAUAAGAUAAAUUAUCUACAUCUUGAGUCGGAAAAACGGUACACCUUUUUCAUACACGUUUGUAAAUUUCAGCAAUUAAAGCUUGUAUUUGACUGCAACUCUUACGAUUUGUUAAAGAAAGUUGUCUUAAACUAUUAUCACCUGGAACAUCUGACAAAAAAGAACUUCUUUAGAUGCAUUUGAACAUGUGAAUCUUCUAACAACUUUAGAAACUUUGUUGUGCGGGCCUAUAUCCUGGGGUCCAAAAUUUUCCUUAGCGUUAACUUUUGGUUCUGAUCAGAAGGACAAUUAUGAUAUGCCUUGGGAGUGGGUGUAUUCUGAUAUUCAACAAAUAUGUCUGAAGGGAAAUGAUAAUUUUGAUGUUCUGGAUUUGUUAUACUAAAUAUUUUUUCACCUCUUAUCUUUUGUUGGUAUUUUAAAGUUUUUAGAUAUAAGUUGGUUAUACUAAAUAUUUUUCUGAAAGAUGGUAAAAUUUCAUAUCAUGUCUUGCUGUUUUUUUUUUUUUUUUUUUUUUUUGCGCAAGUGGUUCAUAUCAUUUCGUUUUUACCAAGCAACCAUUAUGUGUUGGUGACAGGUUAAUCCCUUACUUUUAAGGGGCAACGGUUUAUUUCAGAGAUUUCUUCUUCGCGAGUUGAACAAGAAGAUGAAGAUCAUGUCCAACCAAAGAAACCGUGUCUUGUGGUAUUUCAGCAAUGUAACUAUGUACAGUGGGAUCAGAAUAAUCAUAUAUCGUCUGGGAGAGAGGUGUUGAGUGAGCCAUCUCUUAACCAUGUAUCCCCACACCAUUCCGACCAAGGGUAAUACUUCCCAAAGUAAGCUAAUGUUACAUCUAGCAUCUUCUGAGUAACCUUGACCAUGCAUGUAUGGCAGUUUUGCAUUUAGACAGCUUCAAUGAUUCUUGCAUCACGGCUCAUGUGUCUUAUAUAGUUAUAUGUAAGGUCAUGGCUUAUGUGGAGUCUCCUAAUUGACGGUGCCAAAGCACACUGACCAGGCUGUAAAGUUUUUACUCUUAUUACUGAAAUACUAAAAAGAAAAAUGGUUGUAACGCGCUUGUCCUCUACUUUUG